GACGAACGCUGGCGGCGUGCUUAACACAUGCAAGUCGAACGGUGACGAGGAGCUUGCUCCUCUGAUCAGUGGCGAACGGGUGAGUAACACGUGAGCAACCUGCCCCAGACUCUGGGAUAACAGUUGGAAACAGCUGCUAAUACCGGAUACGAGACGGAGAGGCAUCUCUACCGUCUGGAAAGUUUUUCGGUCUGGGAUGGACUCGCGGCCUAUCAGCUAGUUGGUGAGGUAAUGGCUCACCAAGGCGACGACGGGUAGCCGGCCUGAGAGGGCGACGGCCAACGACUGGGACUGAGACACGGCCCAGACUCCUACGGGAGGCAGCAGUGGGGAAUAUUGCACAAUGGGCGAAAGCCUGAUGCAGCGACGCCGCGUGAGGGAUGACGGCCUUAUGGGUUGUAAACUUCUUUUACAGGGGAAUAAAGUGAGUCACGUGUGAUUUUUGCAUGUACCCUGUGAAUAAGCAUCGGCUAACUCCGUGCCAGC
rnacentral:rRNA from 1 species